rnacentral:rRNA from 1 species
CCAAAAUGUACGCUAAUGUAGAUCCCAUAAAAGGUGUUGAUUCAUUUAGACAGCAGGACGGUGGUCAUGGAAGUCGAAAUCCGCUAAGAAGUGUGUAACAACUUACCUGCCGAAUGAAUUAGCCCUGAAAAUUGAUGGCGCUCAAGCGUACUACUUAUACUCUGCCGUCAAGACACACUCUAAAAAUGAAGUCUUGACGAGUAGGUGUGCGUGGAGGUUGCAGAGAAGCUUACCCCGUGAGGGGGAGUGUAGCAGCCUUUAGUGCAGAUCUUGGUGGUAGUAGCAAAUAUUCAAGUGAGAACCUUGAAGGCCGAAGUGGAGAAAGGUUUCGCGAGAACAGCAUUUGAUCGCGAGUCAGUCGAUCCUGAGGCACAGAUUAACCUCGUGAACAGCAUAAUUGGGCCCAAAGGGGGGGGAACGUACUUUUUUUGGUUCGU